GACGAACGCUGGCGGCGUGCCUAAUACAUGCAAGUCGAGCGCAGGAGGGUGGUACUUGUACCAACUGGAUGAGCAGCGGACGGGUGAGUAACGCGUGGGUAAUCUGCCUUUGAGCGGGGGAUAACAUCUGGAAACGAAUGCUAAUACCGCAUAAAAACUUUAAACACAAGUUUUAAGUGUGAAAGAUGCAAUUGCUUCACCUAAAUAUGAUCGCGCGGUGGAUUAGCUAAUUGGUGAGGUAAAGGCCCACCAAGGCCAUGAUACAUAGCCGGCCUGAGAGGGUGAUCCGCCAAAAUGGGACUGGGAAACGGCCCCAGCUCCCAAGGGGAGCAGCAGUAGGGGAACUUCGGAAAAUGAGCGAAGUCUGAACGAGGAACGGCGGGGGAGUGGAGGAGGUUCUCGGAUCGGUAAACUCUGUUGGUUGGGGAGAAAGUUGGUGAGAGUGGAAAGCUCAUCAAGUGACGGUAACUACCCAGAAAGGGACGGCUAACUACGUG
rnacentral:rRNA from 1 species